rnacentral:rRNA from 1 species
UGCGUAGGUGGUUAUAUAAGUUAUCUGUAGAAAUCCCUGGGCUCAACCUGGGCAGGUCGGAUAAGACUGUAUGACUCGAGUAUAGGAGAGGGUAGUGGAAUUUCCGGUGUAGCGGUGAAAUGCGUAGAGAUCGGAAGGAACACCAGUGGCGAAGGCGGCUACCUGGCCAGAUACUGACACUGAGGCACGAAAGCGUGGGAGCAAACA